UACGUAGGGUGCGAGCGUUGUUCGGAAUUAUUGGGCGUAAAGCGCUUGUAGGCGGUUUGUCGCGUCUGCUGUGAAAAUCCGGGGCUCAACCCCGGACUUGCAGUGGGUACGGGCUGACUAGAGUGUGGUAGGGGAGACUGGAAUUCCUGGUGUAGCGGUGAAAUGCGCAGAUAUCAGGAGGAACACCGAUGGCGAAGGCAGGUCUCUGGGCCACUACUGACGCUGAGAAGCGAAAGCAUGGGGAGCGAACAGG
rnacentral:rRNA from 1 species